GACGAACGCUGGCGGCGUGCCUAAUACAUGCAAGUAGAACGCUGAAGAGAGGAGCUUACUCUUCUUGGAUGAGUUGCGGACGGGUGAGUAACGCGUAGGUAACCUGCCUUGUAGCGGGGGAUAACUAUUGGAAACGAGAGCUAAUACCGCAUAACAAUGGAUGACACAUGGCAUUUAUUUGAAAGGGGCAAUUGCUCCACUACAAGAUGGACCUGCGUUGGAUUAGCUAGUAGGUGAGGGAAAGGCUCACCUAGGCGACGAUACAUAGCCGACCCGGGAGGGUGGUCCGCCCACCUUGGACCUGAGCACCGCCCCGGCCCCUACCGGAGGCCGCAGUAGGGGAUCUUCGGCAAUGGGGCCAACGCUGACCGGGCAACCGCGCGUUAGUGGAGGAGGGUCUUCGAUCGUAAAGCUUCGUUGUUUGUCAAGAACGGGUGGUAUAGUGGACAGUUCACACUGUGACGGUAGCUUACCAGAAAGGGACGGCUAACUACGUG
rnacentral:rRNA from 1 species